rnacentral:other from 1 species
AGUACCCUGCUGUGUUCGUGAUGAGACACAACCGGUUUUGAGCCAACAGUUUCAGUAUUACGUCCGAUCUUAUCUGAUGUGACGCGAUAGGCUUUAGCCAAGGCGGAGCUGAGAAGAAGGACAAACCUGCCUAAGCAGGUUCAAAACUUAGCUCACACGGCAUGGCGGGGCUUUU